GGAACCACCUGAUCCCAUCCCGAACUCAGCAGUGAAAC
rnacentral:rRNA from 1 species